AUUGAACGCUGGCGGCAGGCCUAACACAUGCAAGUCGAGCGAGCGGCGGACGGGUGAGUAAUGUAUGGGGACUGCCCGAUAGAGGGGGAUAACUCGUGGAAACGGUAGCUACUACCGCAUACUAUCGGAUAACCCAUAUGGGAUUAGCUAGUAGGUGGGGUAAUGGCUCACCUAGGCGACGAGCCCUAGCUGGGCUGAGAGGUUGAUCAGCCACACUGGGAUGGAGAAACGGCCCAGACUCCUACGGAGGCAGCAGUGGGGAAUAUUGGACAAUGGGCGCAAGCCUGAUGCAGCCAUGCCGCGUGUAUGAAGAAGGCCCUAGGGUUGUAAAGUACGUUCAGUCGGGAGGCGUUACCGACAGAAGAAGCACCGGCUAACUCCGUGCCAGCAGCCGCGGUAAUAC
rnacentral:rRNA from 1 species